rnacentral:rRNA from 1 species
CUUGGUCAUUUAGAGGAAGUGUACAAGUCGUAACAAGGUUUCCGUAGGUGAACCUGCGGAAGGAUCAUUAAUGAAUAUAGGACGUUUGCUCGUAAAACAGCAAGGUCCGACCUCCAUUUUCUUACACUGUGCAUUUAUUGGCGAGAUUAUUGAAGAAGCUUGCUUUUUCAAUCGUCUUGCGGCUCAUUUAUUAACACCAGUCAAAGUAUGUAACGAAAUAUCGAAAUAAAAUAAAACUUUCAACAACGGAUCUCUUGGCUCUCGCAUCGAUGAAGAACGCAGCGAAAUGUGAUAAGUAAUGUGAAUUGCAGAAUUCAGUGAAUCAUCGAAUCUUUGAACGCACCUUGCGCUCCCUGGUAUUCCGGGGAGCAUGUCUGUUUGAGUGUCAUGAACUCCUCAACCCAUCAGUUUCCUUGUAGAUUGAAUGGUGUUUGGAUUUUGAAUGUUGCUGGUCUCUCGAGACGUAGCUCGUUCGUAAUAUAUUAGCAUUUCUAAUUCGAACUCGGAUUGACUCAGUGUAAUAGACUAUUCGCUGAGGACACUUUUAUUAGUGGCCGAAUGAGAUAAUUGUAGACGCUUCUAACCCCUAUAGUCAACUUUGUAUUAGACCUCAGAUCAGGCAGGAUUACCCGCUGAACUUAAGCAUAUCAAUAAGCGGAGGAAAAGAAACUAACAAGGAUUCCCCUAGUAACGGCGAGUGAAGCGGGAAGAGCUCAAAUUUGUAAUCUGGCACCUUCGGUGUCCGAGUUGUAAUCUCGAGAAGUGUUUUCCGCGCCGGACCGUGUACAAGUCUCCUGA